GGGUCCCAGAGCUGCUGGGAGAAGCUGCAUUGCCUGGGCGCUGUGGGAUGCACAGGUCCUCUCCCUCCGAACACUUGUCACUGCUCUCUGCUGUUUGGGGAAUGACUCUGGGUUUCCCACACGUGGGCGAGGAUUUCCAGGAUGCUAACAGCUCUUAAAAGUGGGUGAAGUGAAAUAUUAGCAAUGAUAAAAAGAAAUGAUUUGGAGGAGAAGAAACAAGAUAUUAGCACUGCGUCAGGAGUUUGCCUGCAAAACCAGAAAA